rnacentral:rRNA from 1 species
GACGAACGCUGGCGGCGUGCUUAACACAUGCAAGUCGAGCGGUAAGGCCCUUUCGGGGGUACACGAGCGGCGAACGGGUGAGUAACACGUGGGUGACCUGCCCUCAGCUCUGGGAUAAGGCCUGGGAAACCGGGUCUAAUACCGGAUACUGACUCCAUGACGCAUGUUGUGGGGUGAAAGCCUUGUGCGGCUGAGGAUGGGCCCGCGGCCUAUCAGCUUGGUUGGUGGGGUGANGGCCUACCAAGGCGACGACGGGUAGCCGGCCUGAGAGGGCGACCGGCCACACUGGGACUGAGACACGGCCCAGACUCCUACGGGAGGCAGCAGUGGGGAAUCUUGCGCAAGUGGGCGAAAGCCUGACGCAGCGACGCCGCGUGAGGGAUGACGGCCU